GAAACAUGGGAUGGAUAUCCCUGGAGCCAUGUCAAAAUACUAUCAUUCUUAAAGAAAAGUGAUUGGAUUGG